rnacentral:rRNA from 1 species
CUAAUACAUGCAAGUCGAACGAGUUCUGAUUAUUGAAAGGUGCUUGCAUCUUGAUUUAAUUUUGAACGAGUGGCGGACGGGUGAGUAACACGUGGGUAACCUGCCCUUAAGUGGGGGAUAACAUUUGGAAACAGAUGCUAAUACCGCAUAAAUCCAAGAACCGCAUGGUUCUUGGCUGAAAGAUGGCGUAAGCUAUCGCUUUUGGAUGGACCCGCGGCGUAUUAGCUAGUUGGUGAGGUAACGGCUCACCAAGGCAAUGAUACGUAGCCGAACUGAGAGGUUGAUCGGCCACAUUGGGACUGAGACACGGCCCAAACUCCUACGGGAGGCAGCAGUAGGGAAUCUUCCACAAUGGACGCAAGUCUGAUGGAGCAACGCCGCGUGAGUGAAGAAGGCUUUCGGGUCGUAAAACUCUGUUGUUGGAGAAGAAUGGUCGGCAGAGUAACUGUUGUCGGCGUGACGGUAUCCAACCAGAAAGCCACGGCUAACUACGUGCCAGCAGCCGCGGUAAUACGUAGGUGGCAAGCGUUAUCCGGAUUUAUUGGGCGUAAAGCGAGCGCAGGCGGUUUUUUAAGUCUGAUGUGAAAGCCCUCGGCUUAACCGAGGAAGUGCAUCGGAAACUGGGAAACUUGAGUGCAGAAGAGGACAGUGGAACUCCAUGUGUAGCGGUGAAAUGCGUAGAUAUAUGGAAGAACACCAGUGGCGAAGGCGGCUGUCUGGUCUGUAACUGACGCUGAGGCUCGAAAG